rnacentral:piRNA from 1 species
UGAGACUAUAAUGUCCGCGCU